rnacentral:rRNA from 1 species
CUAUUCCUUAGCAUAAAAAAAUGCCGGAUAAUACAAACCUUAAUUUAAAAUCCAAAGAUCUUGGCGGUGUCUUAUAUAAUCAGGGGAACCUGUCCCUUAAUUCGAUAAUCCACGAAUGCUCUAACCCCUCUCGAAUCACAGCCUGUGUACUGCCGUCGCAAGUAUGCCUCUAAAAGUUAGCAUACCAGAAUAAUUCUAUAGACGUCAGGUCAAAGUGCAGCCUAUGGGGGGCUGGUGAUGGGUUACACCCUCAAUAAAUGCCACCUAAACUUAAUUAACACUAAGAAGAAAGCUGGACUUGAAAGUAAUAAAAGUCACUAACCUUUUAUGAAUAAGAAUCUAAGACAUGCACACAUCGCCCGUCACUCUCGUCGAAAGAUG